ACCUGGGUGGCUCAGUUGGUUGAGCAUCUGACUUCAGCUCAGAUCAUGAUCUCGCGGUUUGUGGGUUUGACCCCACAUUGGGCC
rnacentral:tRNA from 1 species